AUUCAACGCGAGGGGUAGGGGGAGAGACGGUCGAUUUCUUUACUUCUUAAAGUUUCCCUCAGUGGUCCACGUUUAAAACGACAAAGAAAGACACAAGGGGAGUGAUAUAUGGAGGUCUGUCCAGCAACCUUGCUCAAAUUCAGAUUGCAACGCGGAGAACUUCGCGUAAACACGAUGGGGAGAUUUCAUUCUAAGGGGUCCUCUUGAAUGCAGAGAAAGAAGUCUCGGUCAAAGGCCUCUACAAUGUUCUUCAGGAGAUUGGAGACCAAACUUCACCUGGAAAAGGACGGUAAGACAAGAAGUGAUGAUGAGGAUUCUUCACAAAUACUGGCAUUUCCAGCACAGCAGAGUGCAGCAGCACAGAGUCAUUUGGAUGAUGCUUCUGAAUUGCAACCUGCUGCGGCAACCAGUAAUGAUGAUACUGCCUCUCGGCAUCUCUUUUAAGCAAUCUGCCUGACUGCAGGAAUCAAAAUCAGUACAGGUAUUUUAAAUCAGCGUAUACGUUUCCAGUUGUUGCCAGAAAGAAACUGGGAUGCGCACUAUGCAAAUACAUAGUAUCACUUGGUGUUCAGAGAAAGAGCGCCAUGAAGUACACUCUUAUCAAAGGAAUGCAGGAAUGUGAAAUCACUGCGUAUGGGGAAAGUAAAGAGAAACAACAAACUUGCUUAAGGAAAAAAAAAUACAUGAUCACAAAGAAUCCAGUGGUCACAAAGAGGCAGCUAAACUCCUUGAAAAGAAAGCUGAAGGUGCAUUUGAGGCUGGUUUACUGAAGGCACAGGAACAUUUCCUCAACCAAAUGCGUGUUUCGCACAGCAUACUAUAUUGCAAAAAACCCCAGGCCUUUCACAGGUCAUCCAGAUCUGCUGGGCUUGCAAAAAUUAAAUGGUGUAAAUACAGGAAGAGUUCUGCAAUCACAUGUCAGUUGUUCAGACAUUACUGAUUUAAUUGCAAAGGAAAUGAAGGAUGCUUUAAUAUGUAAUAUAAUAUCUACUCAACCUCCAAUGCCCAUACUUAUUGAUGGGGUACAUCAUUGAGCAAGAAAUCUUCUCUCUGUUUAUCUGAAGUGUUCAGUUGAAAAUUCAGAACCUACCACAUUUUUUCUAAGACCUACUUGAACUUAGUUCUACAAUUUCCGAUGUCAUCACUUCUGCAUGGCUUGACUGCUACAUAAGCAUGGCCUUGAUGACAACCUGCUAAAGCAAUGCUUAUAGGAUUUUGCUCAGAUGGAGCAUCACUGAUGGUGUUUGGUGUUUUUGUGAAGCUGAAACACAAUUGUCCUCGUUUAAAUGGGUGGCAUUGCCUUAACCACAGGCUGGAACUCUAGGGGAUCAUGGACAAACUUUAUACUCUUUAGAGACAGUAGCUGGGUAGCUUCAUCUUUUAGGACCGUAGAGGCAGUCUGGAACUUCACUUCAGCACUCCACUCUCAUUUCUGCCGCGCUAGUCAAGAUGAUUCAAGAGAGUCAUGAGAAAGAGCCGUGUUUGGUGGGCUUGCCAAAAAGCGCUUCAUCAGAAUUCCUCGUGAAUUUGGGAUUGAGGCUUGAUGGAUUAGAACAACGGUGGGCAACCUCAGAGGACGCCGCGGUCCGGCCCUCAAACCACUCCAAGGGCCGCAAGACCCCCUUUACCACAAUUACAAGGCAAAAUGAAACAUUUUAAUUUAAAGAGCUUUACAUUAUAUAAACAAUAAGAAUGUAAUAAAGGAUUGAACAUCAAUACAAAAGAAAAAGCAUUUAAAGUCAUAAAUAUACUACUUAAUGCGACUUCUGGGUGAUCAUAUUUUGCACCAGCUUUUUGAAGUUAGGAGUAAGGCAGGUGCAGGCACAUCACAACUCAGCAGCGAGGUUUCCACCUUUUGCGUUUGUUGUUUUUGAUGUUUCCCAUCACAGAGGAUGUCUGUUCGCAUGUGUAGGUUGAACGAAAAAUUGAUAACAGCUUUGCAGCUCAAAGGAGGUGAACAAUAUAAUCGGUUUGAAAAUUAAAAGAAUGAUAAAUAAGAA